rnacentral:rRNA from 1 species
UGGGGAAUAUUGCGCAAUGGGGGGAACCCUGACGCAGCCAUGCCGCGUGAAUGAAGAAGGCCUUAGGGUUGUAAAGUUCUUUCGGUAUUGAGGAAGGUUGAUGUGUUAAUAGCACAUCAAAUUGACGUUAAAUACAGAAGAAGCACCGGCUAACUCCGUGCCAGCAGCCGCGGUAAUACGGAGGGUGCGAGCGUUAAUCGGAAUAACUGGGCGUAAAGGGCACGCAGGCGGUUAUUUAAGUGAGGUGUGAAAGCCCCGGGCUUAACCUGGGAAUUGCAUUUCAGACUGGGUAACUAGAGUACUUUAGGGAGGGGUAGAAUUCCACGUGUAGCGGUGAAAUGCGUAGAGAUGUGGAGGAAUACCGAAGGCGAAGGCAGCCCCUUGGGAAUGUACUGACGCUCAUGUGCGAAAGCGUGGGGAGCCAACAGGAUUAGAUACCCUGGUAGUCCACGCUGUAAACGCUGUCGAUUUGGGGGUUGGGGUUUAACUCUGGCGCCCGUAGCUAACGUGAUAAAUCGACCGCCUGGGGAGUACGGCCGCAAGGUUA